UAUAGUAUGAAUAAUCCAUCGAGGGAGC
rnacentral:sRNA from 1 species